UACAGAGGUCUCAAGCGUUGUUCGGAUUCAUUGGGCGUAAAGGGUGUGUAGGUGGCGCCGUUAGUCGGGUGUGAAAUUUCGGAGCUUAACUCCGAAACUGCAUUCGAUACUGCGGUGCUUGAGGACUGGAGAGGAGACUGGAAUUUAUGGUGUAGCAGUGAAAUGCGUAGAGAUCAUGAGGAAGACCAGUGGCGAAGGCGGGUCUCUGGACAGUUCCUGACAGCUGAGACAGAAGGCCAGGGGAGCAAAACGGG
rnacentral:rRNA from 1 species